UACGUAGGGUGCGAGCGUUAAUCGGAAUUACUGGGCGUAAAGCGUGCGCAGGCGGUUUUGUAAGCCAGAUGUGAAAUCCCCGGGCUUAACCUGGGAAUGGCAUUUGGGACUGCAAGGCUUGAGUGCGGCAGAGGAGACUGGAAUUCCUGGUGUAGCAGUGAAAUGCGUAGAUAUCAGGAGGAAUACCGAUGGCGAAGGCAGGUCUCUGGGCUGACACUGACGCUGAGACGCGAAAGCGUGGGGAGCGAACAGG
rnacentral:rRNA from 1 species